rnacentral:rRNA from 1 species
GUUUCGGGCGUGCCUUGGCCAGAAAUGGUGCUGGGCGUGCGGGACCUGGACUGCCCUGGGGUCCGGGCCGGCGUCUGGCGUACGCUCGUGCGGCUUUACGGGGGUGCACGGCCUUCAGUAAGCCAGCCGCAAGGUUGCAUGGGGCCUGCUUCUGGGAUUAAAUCAAAACGCUCAAGGUGGGCGCAGUUCACCGUCAGGUGUCUGUAUGUUUGAAUGAUUAAGCUUGGGAUGGCGCGGCGACAAAGAGUGCAAUGCUCCGAAGCCCGCAAGGGUCCAGCGCACCGGCAGGGGAUGCCAUCACGGGGCGGUGCGCUGUAAAUUCUAUGCCCUGACGAGACCGUAGGUACCACGGGGGGAGAGGUGAAAUUCCAUGAUCCUCGUGUGACAACCAAAGGCGAAAGCAUGCGGUUAGGAUGGGCCAGCUGAUCAAGGACGAAAGCCGGGGGAGCGAAGACGAUUAGAUACCGUCGUAGUCCCGGCAGUAAACGAUACCACUUCGGUGCCGCGAGGAAGCAGAAAGAACGUUUUGCUUUUGGCGGCGCCAUCCCGGAAACGAAAAGCAUUCGGUUCCGGGGGGAGUAUGGUCGCAAGGCUGAAACUUAAAGGAAUUGACGGAAGGACACCACCACGGUGUGGAGUAUGCGGCUCAAAUCGACACAACACGGGAAAACUCACCAGGUCCGGACAUAAAAAGGAUUGACAGAUUGAUAGCUCUUUCUUGAUCUUGUGGAUGGUGGUGCAUGGCCGUUCUUAGUUGGUGGAGUAAUUUGUCUGGUUCAUUCCGAUAACGAACGAGACCUCGGCCUACUAAAUAGGCGGAGCCUUCUUGAACCGUGUGGGCAACUGCAUGGUCGAAGGUCUUCGACCCCCCAGGUCUGGCUCACGCCGCUGGGACUUCUUAGGGGUACUACGCGUAUACAGCGCGGGGAAGCACGAGGUAAUAACAGGUCUGUCAUGCCCUUCGAUGUCCUGGGCUGCACGCGCACUACAAUGGAUGGUGCAGCGGGCUUUAACUUCCAGACCUGAAAAGGCUGGGAAAUCCUUGGAAUCCCCACCGUGAUUGGGAUAGAUGAUUGCAAUUAUUUGUCUUGAACGAGGAAUACCUAGUAAGCGCGAGUCAUCAGCUCGCGUUGAUUACGUCCCUGUCCUUUGUACACACCGCCCGUCGCUCCUACCGAUUGGAUGUUCCGAUGAAACCUUUGGACCGCGCUCAAGCCCAAAAGGCUUGGGCAAUAGCCCGUAGCAGGGCAGUAGGAAAGCUGGUUAAAUCUUAACAUCUAGAGGAAGGAGAAGUCGUAACAAGGUUUCUGUAGGUGAACCUGCAGAAG